rnacentral:lncRNA from 1 species
GGGCCGCCGGGAGUUGUAGUGCGCGCGCAGGGGGAGGGGGGACUACGGGUCCCAGCGGCCCCUGCGCGGAGGCGGCGGGGUCGUCGUCGUCGUCGUCGGUGGCGGCGGCGGCGGCGGGUCCGGCUGAGGCGGCGCGUUCGUCCCUCUCUCCUCUUUCCAUCGGAGCGGCGGGGGAAGAUGGCGGGCGGCGGAAUUUCCGCUACGGGGUCCUCUUCAUAAAUGCUGCCUCAUCAGACCUAGGCUGAAACUUGUACUAUUUGCAGACCUUAGGUCAUUUUUAACAUCUCCGUUUACAGGUAGUAGGACAACUUCAUUUUUUUUGACCCAUUAGGGUUUUGAGGAAUGCGUGCCAUCUCUAGUCAAUCGAGUGAUCUAAUCCUCUCCUCUUCCUUAUCUAUAUAUUUAAAUUGAGCUCAAAAAGGCUUAAUGCCCCAGUUUUAAGACUGAUUACUCCCGCGAGCUUUUAGGUGAAGCUGGCUACAUGGGUCUGCCAGGCUCUGUUACUUAAAGAUUUAGUUGUGGGCAUGGGUAAUGUCUGUUUAUUGUGUGUGAUACUCUCCCAAGUGCUUCGUAGAGUGCUUUGCACACAGUAAGUGCUCAGUAAAUGCAAUUGAAUUGAAUAGGGCAG